UACGGAGGGUGCGAGCGUUGUCCGGAAUCACUGGGCGUAAAGGGCGCGUAGGCGGCUUGAUAAGUAGGGGGUGAAAUCCUGCGGCUUAACCGCAGGGCUGCCUUCUAAACUGUCAGGCUUGAGCACAGUAGAGGCAGGUGGAAUUCUCGGUGUAGCGGUGAAAUGCGUAGAUAUCGAGAGGAACACCUGCGGCGAAGGCGGGUUGCUGGGCCGACACUGACGCUGAUGCGCGAAAGCCAGGGGAGCGAACGGG
rnacentral:rRNA from 1 species